CUUAAACAUUGUUUUGACUAGACAUAGACAUCGCAGGGCUUUUUUUUUUUUUUUACCUUUGCUUAUUUUAAUAUUGUUGAGAUUGUCCAUUUAUCAGUAAUCACAAUUUUGUCCUAUCAUCUACAAUCUGUAGGCAGGAGACAGUUCAAAACAGAAGGUAAGUGGGUCAAGAAGAGAAAGUGGAGUAGCUGAGAGUUGAGAAUUGAGUCUGGGUAUAACAACCAGAACCUGGAGACAGACUGAACACAACAACUGAGACUCACAACCCAGAAAUCGGUCCCAUGAGUCUCUGUAUGAAUCUGAGCAAUCUUUAUUUUUUAAAAAAUGUUCCUUUCUCUCAGGUUAAAGCAUUGCCAGUUAUUCUCAUUUCUAAUUAUUUUUGAACUUUUAGACAAGUUCAAGUUAUGCCUCUUUUAAGACAUUUUAAUGAAUUAUUUUAUUAUACCUAUACAUUUAUGAUAAAGGUACAUUAAAGAAUCAAAUAAACCCUGGUUAAGAAAUCUCAUUGUUCUAUUCUAUAGGGUUCCACUAAGUAUGCUGACACAAUCAGAACAGUAACCAUACCAGUAGGAUGGUUUGGUAUCUGGCAGAUUAUUAAACUCCUUUCAGAGGAGCUGGAGUAACUGCAUGAAGCUUCUUCUCCUAUAUUGAAUGAUAGCGUCGAGACUAAGACGGCCAUGAAACAAGAAGGUGCUGGCUGUGCAGGAUGAGAGCCAUUGGAUGUUUCCUCCAUUCACCUACCCUCUUUUUUCCUUCCGUCUUCACCUCAGUUGGAGGACUAGAGAGGCUGAGCAGUAAAUUCUGAGUCCCAGUGCCAGGGAUUAUGUGAAGAGCCUUAUAGCCAUGUUCCAUGCCUAUGGAGGGAGCCAUUUGGAUAUCAAGGGGGGGCAGAAUUUUCAGCAGGACUUACCAAGAAAGAUCUCAGAUUGCAGAUUGUGACUUGAAUCGAGUGUUCGUGCAGAAGAGUUGCACAGUGAGUAAAAUGUCUGGGGUUUCAAAAUGAAGUAUCCUGGUUUGUUAUACACAGAACAGGGGGUGCUUAUUAAAUUUAAUAAUAUGUUCCUUUUAAAGAAACAGAAAAUGAGGAUUUCCUGAGACUAGGACGUCAAAGCUCCUGUGUACCUACAUUGUCUCAUCCACAUGCUUAUGAUACUAUUUGAGUGUCAAUAAGGAAGCACUUAGAUAGUGGAUUUUAAUGAAAUAUCACAAGUGUAAUAACUCAGUCUUAUCAAACAUGUAGACUGAAUUCUUAUAUGUAAAAUACUAGGAACUCAGGCUUAAACGUUUUUCAUGCAGUAAAUCACACAGUGUAGAUUCAAGUAUCUAUGUAAUCUAUUUUACAUAAAAUGUUAAUGUGUAGCUUAAGUAUGUUGGGAUCGCAUGCAGUAAUAGGUAGCUGUGGAUUAGAUUAAGUUAUGAAAAACCAGCUGUCUUCAACUUAUUUUUAUUUUUUAAUUUAUUUUUAUUUUUUAUUUUUUUUCAACUUAUGUUUAACUAAUUAUUUUGCCCAAAGACUGUAUCUUCUAUUUGCCUGUUAUUCAUAUUUUUAAUAAGUUAACUUUUCUAUGUUUGAAUUCCCACCAGCUAUGGUUAAGGGGGCAUCCUGUGAGUGGAAUAAGCAAAUCAAUAUGCUGGUCUGUGCUAGUGUUUUAGUUCCUAAAGGUGCCUUGCCAAAAAUAUCAGAAGAAAGAAACCAA
rnacentral:lncRNA from 12 species